rnacentral:rRNA from 1 species
AAUCAACGCUGGCGGCGUGCCUCAGACAUGCAAGUCGAACGUGAAAGUUCCUUCGGGGAUGAGUAAAGUGGCGCACGGGUGAGUAACACGUGGGUAAUUUGCCUUCGGGUGGGGAAUACCAACCGGAAACGGUUGUUAAUACCGCAUGAUGCAGCGGCUCCGAUUGGAGACAGUUGUUAAAGCGGGGGAGCGGAGCAAUCCGUCCUCGCGCCUGAAGAGAAGCCCGCGGCGGAUUAGGUAGNGGUGAGGUAAUGGCUCACCAAGCCUGCGAUCCGUAACCGACCUGAGAGGGUGGUCGGUCACACUGACACUGACAUACGGGUCAGACUCCUACGGGAGGCAGCAGUCGGGAAUUUUGGGCAAUGGGCGCAAGCCUGACCCAGCAACGCCGCGUGAAGGAUGAAGCA